rnacentral:lncRNA from 1 species
CCCAAAUUGGGGGGCCUUCUAUAACGUUCCUAACCAAUGCUCUUCACAGGGAUCAAGAUCAAGAUCAUAAACAACAAGGAAAACCAAGGAAUCAUCACAGGCUGGGGGAGACUAAGUAGACAACACAACUCAAUGCAAUGUGGAAUCCUAGAACAGAGAAAGGACGCUGGCAGAAGAAUGAGUCAAUCCAAUAAGCAGGGCCAAGACUGAUAACGAAUGGCCCGUGGGAAGCGCACGAAGUCCAACGUGAAUCAACGAUAGCACUAAUGAAAUUGCUUCAAGUUCUAGAGCAGAAGGGAGAACAAAGUGGAUCCCGUCUCCAGGCAAGGGCUCCCCCGUUCCCAUGGUGUGGAGAAGCCUGCCAAGAGCCGAACCGCGGCCUGAGUUCUAAGCACCGCCGGUCAUGUGGCUCACGAGGAGCCCAUCCAUCUUCCUGCACCUCAGAUCUAUAUUCACUACAGACAAGGAAUAACUCUGUAGGUAACCUCUCAUUCUAAACCGGGCUCCGUCAGGUGAGGCUGAGAGAAGGACAUUCACUGGGAACCGUCAAGAUGUCAAAAAAUAUCAAUCCCAUGGGCCAUGUUUCCAAUCCUCCUACCUCCUACCCAGACGAACUCAUUACGAAACAGGAUUCUUACAGAUCCAUAGCAUUUUGCAAGCUGACAUAGGACCCUUUCAAACAAUGCAACCUAACCUUCACCAACAGCUAUGAUUCUCU